rnacentral:tRNA from 1 species
AAAGCUUUAAGUUAAAAAAACUUUUAACCUUCAAAGUUAACAAUAAAAUAAAUUUUUUAAGCUUUA